rnacentral:rRNA from 1 species
UCCGUAGGUGAACCUGCGGAAGGAUCAUUACCGAGUGUAGGGUUCCUAGCGAGCCCAACCUCCCACCCGUGUUUACUGUACCUUAGUUGCUUCGGCGGGCCCGCCAUUCAUGGCCGCCGGGGGCUCUCAGCCCCGGGCCCGCGCCCGCCGGAGACACCACGAACUCUGUCUGAUCUAGUGAAGUCUGAGUUGAUUGUAUCGCAAUCAGUUAAAACUUUCAACAAUGGAUCUCUUGGUUCCGGCAUCGAUGAAGAACGCAGCGAAAUGCGAUAACUAGUGUGAAUUGCAGAAUUCCGUGAAUCAUCGAGUCUUUGAACGCACAUUGCGCCCCCUGGUAUUCCGGGGGGCAUGCCUGUCCGAGCGUCAUUGCUGCCCAUCAAGCACGGCUUGUGUGUUGGGUCGUCGUCCCCUCUCCGGGGGGGACGGGCCCCAAAGGCAGCGGCGGCACCGCGUCCGAUCCUCGAGCGUAUGGGGCUUUGUCACCCGCUCUGUAGGCCCGGCCGGCGCUUGCCGAACGCAAAUCAAUCUUUUCCAGGUUGACCUCGGAUCAGGUAGGAAUACCCGCUGAACUUAAGCAUAUCAAUAAGCGGAGGA